GCCACUAUGGCCGAGUGGUUAAGGCGUCUGAUUCAAGAUACUGAGCGCUAGCAUAACUAGCACAAUCUUGUGCCCCUUAGGGGUAUCAUAACCAGAUCUCGAGAGAGGCUCGCGUUCGAAUCGCGAUGGUGGCA
rfam:Verticillium longisporum isolate VL1 genome assembly, contig: scaffold_63